UCAUAUAAAGGUAUUUCUCUGUUCGAGCAGCAUUUUCAUGAUUAUAUAUACACUGUAGUUUUAUCUGAAGUCAAAGCUGAUUUUGCAGGGCACUAAGAACCAUUGUAUGUUCUUGCAGAUCGUUGGCUGAGCUUACACUCUUCAAAAACUCGAAAGAAUGAGGAUUUAACAAGAGCAGCAGAUCAUCGUCAUCAUCUAGCGUGUGUGCGUGAAGUUAUUUUUUACACGAGUGCUAGACUCGGACAAUAAGCCGCUCUGGUGGCGACGACAACAACAGCAGACAACAAAAAUGUACAUACAUAUUCGUAGCAGGUUCACAGCAGGUCCUCAUCAUAUUUGAGAUUCUGUUACUCUUUACAUACAAACAGUUUUGUAUAAACGUCCAUGGUUUUUCUUGAUAUAUAUUUAUAAUAUCAAUGAGCGAGUUAUCAAGAUCCAA